GGUUGUUUGUGAUAUUGAAGAGCAUGAUAUCAAAACUAUACUAAAAGGACUUGAGGAAGACAUUUUAAGCUAUCCACAUAUGCAAGGAAAAUCGACCAAUAAAAACCUUUUAUUUAGCUACGUCACCUUGCUGUUCGUCAAACCUGAUUGGGUUCAAGCUUGGAGCGCAUCUCCCCCACCCCGACUCUUCCACUUCACCUUCUCCCAUGUCUGAUCUUUUUCACUGUUACGUCUCAAUUAAUAAAGAUCUUAAGGCUAUUCUUCAAUAUUUCUUUCCACCUCCCUUGAUCCUUCUCCUAUAUAUAGCUCUAUGUCUUAAACCUAAAUCCACCCCAAAAUCAAAACUACUCUAAAGAAGCUACAUCCAUUGCCAUGAAAUCCACCGCAAAAUCUCAGCUUUCCAUCGGUAAAUCUCCAGUCGCAGUCUAUUUCAGCGCCAUCUCACUUGGACCAGCUGACUCCUCAUUGAUGAAUAGCUGAAGCAAAUCAGGUCCCUUAUGGAUAUAUUUGAAAAGAUACUUAACAGCUCGCGUUUGGAUGCACCACUCGACAUUCAUAUGCGCGUGAUAUCGAAGCAUGAGGUUUCUAUUGUAAGAUAUGUUUUCAGGUUCAGGAGCAUUUUGUGAGAAAGUGAUGUUUUUGGAGCGUUUUGGAGUACAAGAGAUGAUACACCCGAGUUGACCAUUCAAGACUAAGUCGGAAGUCAACAUUGCGAUUACAAUCGAUCGAUACUCAUCCUGAGUUGUCGAUCAAUGUAGCUGAGAAGAUCCGCGUACUAGAAGAUUAUAAUCGAUCGAUACACAUUCAGUGUUGUCGAUCGAUAUCGAGGACAAAAUGGUUUAGCCGACUAUUUCACUAAGACUUCACCAAAUUACGAGAUUGCCCCUGACGAGUUUUUAACCUAAUGGAAAUGCUUAAAUACUCCUGCAAAGUCUUUUUGACGGCAAGUUUUGAAACCCUUUGAAGCUUGAAGCUUUUCACAACCAAAGCAGAGAGUGUGAGAGAGAGAGACUAGUGUUUUAUUUGUUUGAGAGAGAUUGGAGAGAUUUCUCAUCUCCUUUUGUAUUUCUACUUUAUUCUAUCUAUGCAAUUCUUUCAUCUAUCUAUUGUUAUGAAUUGUUUAGCUAUG